CUAUGAAAUUCCUAAAGUGUAUACAAUUGUCAUUUUCAAAUCAACGUGAAUUACAUGGUUUGAAAGACAAUAAACUGUGGUUUUCUGAACCUAAGCCAUGCAAAGACAAUCCUACGUGGAGAAAGGAAAAUAAAUAUUUCGGUAGACGUGGAGCGUAAAGUGCUUGAUUACCUUUCUCUUCCAACGAUUGUGAAUGAGGACGAUGAUGAGGAGAACGAAGAAGAAUACUAAUUUAAUUAAUGAUAAAUUAAUGAUAUAUAUAAUGAACACAUUAUAUAUAAUUUGUAUUGAAAGAAAAAGAAAAACUAUAAUCGUUUAAAUAUAAAUGUAUGGGAAAAAAUGAUUUGUGGAGUGUUGAUUUAGCUGAAGUGAAAGAUUUGGUAAGAUAUAAUGAUAAUUUGCGUUAUUUGUUAUAUGUAGUUGAAGUUUAUUCAAGAUACGCAUUUGUGCGUUUAUUACAAAACAAAUCUAGUAAAAAUGUUAUGAAAGAAUUUGAA